GUCUAUGGCCAUGCCACCUUGAACAAAUCCGAUCCCAUCUGAUCUCAAAAGAUAAGCAGGGUUGGGCCUGGUUAGUACUUGGAUGGGAGACCACCUAGGAAGACUGGGUGCUGUAGGUG
rnacentral:rRNA from 1 species